UUCGGGAGCCUAUCAGGUGUUGCAUGGCUGUCGUCAGCUCGUGUCGUGAGAUGUUCGGUUAAGUCCGCUAACGAGCGCAACCCUCGUCGUAUGUUAUAUGUGUCAUACGAGACUGCCGGUAAAAAGCCGGAGGAAGGUGAGGAUGAUGUCAAGUCAGCAUGACCUUUAUAUCCAGGGCUACACACACGCUACAAUGGUCUGUACAAUGGGUAGCCAAGCCGCGAGGCGGAGCCAAUCCUGAAAGCAGGCCUCAGUUCAGAUUGCAGUCUGCAACUCGACUGCAUGAAGCCGGAGUUGCUAGUAACCGCAGGUCAGCAAUACUGCGGUGAAUACGUUCCCGGGUCUU
rnacentral:rRNA from 1 species